ACCACAUCCUCCAACAUCUUGGUAACAUCCCCUCCCUUAGGACCAAAGCAAGCAACCCAGCCCCAGCCCAACAGCAGCCUUCCUAAACCAGUCAGCCUUCAGCUGCUCAACCAGGCUGGCUCCAUUGUCAUCCAGCCACAUGGGCUGUUCCAGGGACAAAACCAGUUCCUUCUUCCCGGUCAGACACCUAUGACCAUAGCCCAGCCCGCUGGUACAACUCACCAGCUUCUCACCCAGUCCAGCCACCUGAGGCGUCCUUCUGUGCAGGGUGGUACUCCCACAGCAGGACCCCUGGUCGAUGGCUCCCAGAUCCUAACGGUCCCCCAGAGACAGUUGAACUUCGGCCCUGUGUUCACCACUCCAACUGGCCAGCUCGCACUCAGACAGGGAACCCUCCUCUCAGGGCCCCUGCAACUGCAGUCAGCGCCCCCUGCUGUUUUCCAGGUGCCUGCGCAGCUGGCGGGGGCUUAUGCUCAACAGGGUCAGGGCCAGGUCCACAACCAAGCUCUAGGUAACCACAUCACUCUGAUCAACAGUUCGGCCAUGCUUGCCCCAGAUAUGACCUCCAUCUCCAUAGUGAAUGGCCCCUCAGUCGUGCAGGGGCUUCCAUUCGCCCCACCACCAACUCAUCGAGAGUCAGCACAGCCGCUGAGACUGCCUCAAGCCUCUGUUCUGCUUCUGCCAGAGAGACCAAUCCCAGAAGAGAGGGCGUCAGAGGAACCACUCCAACUUGCAAUGAGUGGACAGUGUGCUCCUCCUCUGCCACUACAGUCCUCAUCCACAGCAGCCACCAUGCAGCCCAGCAACACUCCACCUGUGGUCACUUUACUGCAGUCCAUGCCUGACACUUCACAGGCCGUCGAGUUGUCUGCACCUCCACUGACCAGCAACCUGAUGCACCAGACUGAAAUCCAGCAUGAAAAAGAAGGCAGACUAAGUCCUGUUAAUGAGAUUUUUUUUCAACAUUUUCAACAGCAAACACUUAAGCCUACGAUCCCUUCAAUUGACACCCUGGCUACCUCUUUGCCUCUGCAAGUCACCACUUACACCUCUCCUCAAACCAACAAGGUAGAGGGACUUCCUGCAACACCGCCCCCUCCCGCUCUACCACUGCAAGUAGAGCCCCUCCCUGUGACCCCAGAACCCACAACAAUAACUGUCCCAGUGCAUUGUAGGUCUUCACCCAGCGACAUGUUGUCUUCACCCCAGAGUGUUCCGGCCUCUUUGGAGGUUUCCAUAUCAGAAUUCUCCAUGUCCCUUAAUGAGCAUUCCACAGACUCCCUGUGUGGAGUUGCUGGGAGGAUUAGCCCACAAGUCCCUGUUGUGAGUGCGGUGUGCAACAGUCCGUCACCACUGCCAGUCAGUGGGACAGAAGCUCCGAUGCAGCAGCUCGUCUCUCAUCCAGUGCCUGAAGGCCUUCAGCCAGAGGCUCCGCAGGCCAAUGCCUCAGCUCAGCAACAGAUUCCACACAGCAAAACGGCAGUCCACCCAAUAGCCAAUAGCAUUGAAGUGUUUGGCCCCAGACCCCAAAGCCUUCAGGUCUUAGAGAUUCAACGCCACAGUGAAUGUGCCCCGGCCUCUCAAACCGAAACACCACAAGAGUCAAAGACACAGGUAUGAGGCAAUAUUUGUAGACCUUGAAAUAAAUAUACUAUUAAAGGAAGUAAGGAAUUCGUCUCCUUUGCAACAUUAAAUUCAGUGUAAUUGACUUUCGAGUUACUUUAAAUGUAAUCAUACAAACUAAUAUAUUUUGUGUUCUGAACUAACUCCUGUUCUCCCCCACAGAUGGCUCUUCUUCAAUCAUUCGAGACAGAAGAGCCACUCACACAGGCGAUGCGCCGACACAGGAUUCAACUGCAACUGUGUUCAGACCACAAAGCAGUUCUGAGUCCACAGUCACAGUGUCCAUUUGUGACAUUAGAGGAUGCAGUGAGGCACCUACUGCCAUUCCAUACAUGUGCAGGGAGGUUGCCCAGUCAAAGAGACUUCUCCUCAGUUGAUGAACAGUUUGAAGCUGCAUCAGUAUUUCUCUUCAAUCGCACCAAGGACAUGCAGAACAAAUACAGGCAGCUGUUACUGGCCGAAGCUCAGCAAGAAAGCCCAUCAGCAGAGAUGGUGAUGCUGGAGAGACUGUUCCUGCAAUCAGAGAGGUUCGCACUGGGAGAGGAGAGGCGCAAAGCACGCAGAGAUCCAGAAUCUUUCCUCAUGUCCCUGAAAAAGAGCUCUCCUCAUAACAUGGCCUCCUCUACCCCAGUGGGCCGUGGGGCAUUGGUCAGUCCCUCAUCUCCUCCGGCGUGGGCACUACAGUCAGAUCGGCCCCCGGGCCUGAAGACAUACCAAUCCAGCAGCCGGGGGACACUACGGCUCACCAUCAAACAUGAGUCAGGCUUACGUAAAGUGGUACACAACUCUGCGUGUGAGCCCAGAAAUCCUGCCCCCUCUGGACACAAGAGGCACUACAGCCGGCAGCUGGUCAAUGGAGGCAACAAACCCAGAGAGGAAGGUUCUGUAGGACACUCAAGGACCUUCGUCUCGGGAGCCGUGCCACAAGAGAGCUCAAAUGGACUCCAGUGCUCUCUCUCAACCCAGGAGGUCCCGUCAGGGCCUCCGCACUCAAACAGUGCCUCAUUGGUACGGACAGCACUAGAGCCGCAGCCAGAGGAGCCCCCCCACAAAAAGCACGUCGAUCUCAAUCCUCUUGGCUCCAGUGUUACUCCACCGCACCCAGAGCCACGCGGAUCAGUGCACAAACUGAACCGGCUGAAGUCUCCGACCGCAGAGAGCCCCGGUCCUGCUCCUCUGCCUCCUGCUCUCCAUGUCCCAUCUCUGCAGGAAGACAGCGCGUUGAGUGAGCAUCUGCAGAGUGCCAUCGACAGCAUUUUGGAACUGCAGAGGCUACAGGGGUCUAGCCUGGGGCAGGCAAGCCUGGGGCAGGUGCGAAUCCCACAGGGGCCAGGCCUAGAACAGCCCAUUGGCGGUAUGCUACAGGGCUGACUCUGAAAGCGAGCCCCAGGCCAGAUAUCUAUGAGAAGUAUCCUCAGGGAAGUAUACUACACUAGGGUCAUGCUUCCCUUGAAUAUUCCCUGUGGCUGUUCUGUAUGAGGCAAAAUGUAAGACUUUUCCAAAUCAGCACUUCCACUGUUUUGUGAGCUCGGAUCAAGUGCCCCCUCCAAGGACAGUGGGAGCCAGCAUGAGUAUGGCCCAGCCGUACCUGCCUGUCCCACGGCAACGCUUCUUUCAUUUCAUCAAUCUUUCAAAAGGUUCUGAACAAGAUAAACUACCGUUUCAAAAAUAGUAGCUAAAAUUUGUUUUGGUCAUGGUUUUAAAAAGAGCAAAGCAUUAUACCAGUAUAUUUGCAAGUAGCUGUUAUAGGAUAAAUAGACUGAUAUCAAUUUGUUUGAUAGGUUUCAUUUAAAGAGUUACUGCAGUAAAUGAUGUACUAUUAUUUCUUGAGUGUUAAGUAAGAAAAGCAAUGUGCAUUUUGAGACAUUUGUGCCAACCGUGAAAAAGCCUAGCUCUGUCUUGAAUGACAGCCUAAUUUGCAUUUGCAGAGUGCCUGUGUGUUUCCAUUUCCAUGUGCUUUCUUGUGUGUGUGUGUGUGUGUGUGUGUGUGUGUGUGUGUGCGCAAGGGUGUUCAUGUGUUCCUUUUUGUGGUAAUGGUUGUGGUGUGGUGUGGUGUGGGGGUGGGGUUGGAUACACACUCAAGAGACAUGCAAACGCUUGUCACACAUGACAUGUGACCACCGACAGUAUACCGAAUCAGCAAGCUGGAGUCCUGCUACCCCUUCAGCCUUUUUUUUCACCCCAAAGACGUCAUGUGACCUGCUCCUGUUUGGAAACUACCAGCAUACGUCCGUUCUUGUGUCUGAUUCUGCCGUCAAAGAAACCACAUUUUGUGUAACUUUGUUCCAAAACAGAGAAUGACAAGUCAAUGAAGAGCAAGAUGAACAAAAAACUUAAAACAGAGAACAAAUCUUUUGGCACCAUUAAGUAAUGGUGCUUGGCAAGGUUCUUUCCCAUUCCAUUUGAAGAGAUUCUUGGAAACAAAAGCAAUAAUGGCAAGAUAGAACCUGAGGUGUGAUGGCAUUGGUGCUGCAGUCAUGGAUCUCCGGCCUCUUUUGCUAACCAUCCUCUCUCUCAAUCCCAUUACACAUCUAGUUAUGGUUUAGAUUUGACUGUUUGUAAUUCCAUUUCAUCCACUAGCAUUCAACCAAAAAUCUGAAAGUUCCAGCAUCUUCCAUGGGUUUCUCCCUGUAGGGAUGUUUGUGUUCUUAAUAAUUUAAGUAUUAUUUUGUAUAUCGUGAUAGUGGUUUUGAUGACAAGGCAUUGAUACAUUGAAGUGAAUGAGAGGCUCUUCCAUUUUGAUAGUGAAACAUCAUAUUAAUUUAGCUAUUAAUUAUAUGGCAAAUUAUUUUUAACACUUCGCAUAUUUGAUAAGCAAAAAGGAUGUUGCAGUUCAACAGGUAGAUUUACUACCCAUUUAAAAAAUGCAGCACUGAACAUGGUAAACAAUUGGAUAAUUGGUAUUGUUUUUUUUUUUUCAAUGUUGAACACUUUCACUGUUACUGUGACCAAAGAGGUUUAUGCUUUGCUUUUAAAAGAACUGCCAACUUUUAAAGCAAAACAAACUAAUGUGAAGGGGUGCCAUUUUGACAUGUCCAAAUAUGCUUUGGAAAAAUCCUAUUUUAGGUUUUAAUCAAACUCAUUUAGGUUAAUAUCAAACACAUUGAGUCACACUGAGACAGUUCAUAGUGGGGAAAAACAGUCAAACCAACAACCAAUAUCAACUGGGCUGUUUUUCCUCAAAUACGAAUAUCCAAUACCACACUCACUAUUAGAAGUGAGCGGUCUCAUUUUCAAACCUGCAAGGGAAUGUCUUACCAUGAAGCUUUCAGACGCCAGAGCACUUACGAAUGUGACAUGGUGUUAGCAAAUUAGCAUGAAAGCGUUUCUGCUGCAUGUUGAGCCACAUUGUGUUAAGUAUUUAUUUUAUUAUUCUAUUUAUUUUUAUAAUUCAACUGUGAACAGGGUGGCAAGGGUUUGUACAUUGAAUCAAAAUUGACUCAUAGAUUGUUCUAAUGCCAAAAUCAAGAGGCCUUAAUUCAGCAGAACCCGAUUGUAAAAGAAACUGUCAUUACUGACAAAAAACAUCCCAAGUCAUGGAGGUUAUUGACCUAGGAUAUGUAAAGAGAAAAACCUUUUGUACACAUUUUUACAGACUAUUUAUUAAACUGUGAUUUUGUAUAUAAUGACAAUAAAUAUUGUGAAUCAAGAUUGUGGUUUUUUUUU
rnacentral:lncRNA from 1 species